rnacentral:Y_RNA from 1 species
GGCUGGUCCGAUUGCAGUGGAAUUUAUAAUUAAUUGAUCAGUCAGUUACAGAUUUCUUUGUUCUUUCUCCACUCCCACUGCCUCACUUUACUAGUCUUUU